rnacentral:rRNA from 1 species
AGCGAACGCUGGCGGCAGGCCUAACACAUGCAAGUCGAACGAAGUCUUCGGACUUAGUGGCGGACGGGUGAGUAACACGUGGGAACGUACCUUUUGGUUCGGAACAACUCAGGGAAACUUGAGCUAAUACCGGAUAAGUGCUUUGGGGGAAAGAUUUAUCGCCAUUAGAGCGGCCCGCGUUAGAUUAGCUAGUUGGUGAGGUAAAGGCUCACCAAGGCUACGAUCUAUAGCUGGUCUGAGAGGAUGAUCAGCCACACUGGGACUCAGACACGGCCCAGACUCCUACGGGAGGCAGCAGUGGGGAAUCUUGCGCAAUGGGCGAAAGCCUGACGCAGCCAUGCCGCGUGAAUGAUGAAGGUCUUAGGAUUGUAAAAUUCUUUUACCAGGGACGAUAAUGACGGUACCUGGAGAAAAAGCCCCGGCUAACUUCGUGCCAGCCGCCGCAGUAA